rnacentral:rRNA from 1 species
GGGGGAANNUGAUGCAGCCAUGCCGCGUGUAUGAAGAAGGCCUUCGGGUUGUAAAGUACUUUCAGUUGUGAGGAAGGCAGUUAAGUUAAUAGCUUGGCUGUUUGACGUUAGCAACAGAAGAAGCACCGGCUAACUCCGUGCCAGCAGCCGCGGUAAU